rnacentral:rRNA from 1 species
AGUGAACGCUGGCGGCGUGCUUAACACAUGCAAGUCGAACGAGAACGGAUUAUAGCUUGCUAUAAUUGUCAGCUAAGUGGCGCACGGGUGAGUAAUGUAUAGGUAAUAUGCCUCUUACUAAGGGAUAACAAAUGGAAACGUUUGCUAAUACCUUAUACUCCUUAUUAACAUAAGUUAAUAAGGGAAAGAUUUAUUGGUAAGAGAUUAGCCUGUAUUGUAUCAGUUAGUUGGUGGGGUAAUGGCUUACCAAGACUAUGACACAUAACUGGUUUGAGAGGAUGAUCAGUCACGCUGGAACUGAGACACGGUCCAGUCUCCUACGGGAGGCAGCAGUGGGGAAUAUUGCACAAUGGACGAAAGUCUGAUGCAGCAACGCCGCGUGGAGGAUGACACAUUUCGGUGCGUAAACUCCUUUUAUAUGAGAAGAUAAUGACGGUAUUAUAUGAAUAAGCACCGGCUAACUCCGUGCCAGCAGCCGCGGUAA